rnacentral:rRNA from 1 species
GACGAACGCUGGCGGCGCGCCUAACACAUGCAAGUCGAACGGAGCUGAGAGAAGCUUGCUUUUCUUAGCUUAGUGGCGAACGGGUGAGUAACGCGUGAGUAACCUGCCCUGGAGUGGGGGACAACAGUUGGAAACGACUGCUAAUACCGCAUAAGCCCACGAUCCGGCAUCGGAUUGAGGGAAAAGGAUUUAUUCGCUUCAGGAUGGACUCGCGUCCAAUUAGCUAGUUGGUGAGGUAACGGCCCACCAAGGCGACGAUUGGUAGCCGGACUGAGAGGUUGAACGGCCACAUUGGGACUGAGACACGGCCCAGACUCCUACGGGAGGCAGCAGUGGGGGAUAUUGCACAAUGGGGGAAACCCUGAUGCAGCGACGCCGCGUGGAGGAAGAAGGUUUUCGGAUUGUAAACUCCUGUCGUUAGGGACGAUAAUGACGGUACCUAACAAGAAAACACCGGCUAACUACGU